rnacentral:rRNA from 1 species
GAGGGUCCUGCGUCUGAUUAGCUAGUUGGCGGGGUAACGGCCCACCAAGGCGUCGAUCAGUAGCCGGCCUGAGAGGGUGAUCGGCCACACUGGAACUGAGACACGGUCCAGACUCCUACGGGAGGCAGCAGUGGGGAAUUUUGCGCAAUGGGCGAAAGCCUGACGCAGCAACGCCGCGUGGGUGAUGAAGGUCUUCGGAUCGUAAAACCCUGUCGUCAGGGACGAAGGUUGUGUUCCUAAUAGGGAUGCAGCUUGACGGUACCUGGAGAGGAAGCCCCGGCUAACUCUGUGCCAGCAGCCGCGGUAAUACAGAGGGGGCAAGCGUUAUUCGGAAUUAUUGGGCGUAAAGGGCGCGUAGGCGGUGGUUUAAGUGAGAUGUGUAAUCCCCGGGCUUAACCUGGGAACUGCAUCUCAGACUGGAUCGCUAGAGUGCUGGAGAGGGUGGUGGAAUUCCACGUGUAGCGGUGAAAUGCGUAGAGAUGUGGAGGAACACCAGUGGCGAAGGCGGCCACCUGGACAGUAACUGACGCUGAGGCGCGAAAGUGUGGGGAGCAAACAGGAUUAGAU